GUAGCUGACAUUUUUUCAAGAGUGGUAAUAAAUUAUGCAACAUUUCUAUCAUGAUUUUAACCGAAAGUGCAGGAAAUGAAAAUGGAAAAAAUUUUGUGAAAUUUGU